GGCCAGCUCCACAUUGUGUGCCAUUAUUGGUUGGGGAAGUGCAGUGCUGACAUUUAUUGGCACCAUUUAUUCCUGUGUUCUGCUUGCAAUCGAUAUUGACAGAUAUCAACAUGAAAGGGAAAAACCGGAUGGAACGCUAUACUUUGUUAGUGAUUUCGAUUUAACCGAAGUGAUUAUUGCUGUGGUGGCCUUUGCAGCCAUGUUUAUUGCUUCCGUUUUAUUAAUUGUGGGACUUCGCAAGAAACGUCAUCAGUACAUAGCCAUUUGGAUUGGUGUCACCGCUGUUUGUAUUGUCCUGAAUGUUUUGCGGCUAAUACGCAGCCAACGUUCAAUGGCUCAAAAUCUUCUAACAGUGGGUAUCCAAGUGUGUUUAUGGUAUCCCAUUGUCAGCUAUUAUCGGGACAUGCGUAAAGAU